rnacentral:piRNA from 1 species
UGGUAGCUGUGUAUACAUGGGCCACAUGU